rnacentral:rRNA from 1 species
AUUUCGGUAAGUUCUUAGUGGCGAACGGGUGAGUAACGCGUGGGCAACCUGCCCUCCAGUUGGGGACAACAUUCCGAAAGGGAUGCUAAUACCGAAUGUCCUCCCUCCUCCGCAUGGAGGAGGGAGGAAAGAUGGCCUCUGCUUGCAAGCUAUCGCUGGAAGAUGGGCCCGCGUCUGAUUAGCUAGUUGGUGGGGUAACGGCUCACCAAGGCGAUGAUCAGUAGCCGGUCUGAGAGGAUGAACGGCCACAUUGGGACUGAGACACGGCCCAAACUCCUACGGGAGGCAGCAGUGGGGAAUCUUCCGCAAUGGACGAAAGUCUGACGGAGCAACGCCGCGUGAGUGAUGAAGGUCUUCGGAUUGUAAAACUCUGUUGUUAGGGACGAAAGCACCGUGUUCGAACAGGUCAUGGUGUUGACGGUACCUAACGAGGAAGCCACGGCUAACUACGUGCCAGCAGCCGCGGUAAUACGUAGGUGGCAAGCGUUGUCCGGAAUUAUUGGGCGUAAAGAGCAUGUAGGCGGGCUUUUAAGUCUGACGUGAAAAUGCGGGGCUUAAC